rnacentral:misc_RNA from 1 species
AAGUCGUAACAAGGUUUCCGUAGGUGAACCUGCGGAAGGAUCAUUAAUACGUAUCCACGUAUCAACCCAAUUGUGCACUUGUUGUCCCAUCUGAUGAGGAUUUCUGCGGCCACUUUUGAUUCUGUCAAUUAAAACGCAUGAUGAGAAGAAGGACUGAAGAGGUUCUUUUCCGUGCUGACAGAGGCCGGUUCCUGCUUUCUCUUUACAGGGAUUGCAGCUCAUCGGGUGUGGUUUUAUCAUCAUGCGACACUUAUUAUUAACCACAAGUACAAAUUUCUUGAACUAAUUAUGAAAUGCUUUCUCCGGCUGCUUGAUGCGGCUGUGAAAAAAGCAGUUUCAACAAUCUGAAAUUAAGAACAACUCUUAACAACGGAUAUCUUGGUUCUC